AUUGAACGCUGGCGGCAGGCCUAACACAUGCAAGUCGAACGGUAGCACAGAGGAGCUUGCUCCUUGGGUGACGAGUGGCGGACGGGUGAGUAAUGUCUGGGAAACUGCCCGAUGGAGGGGGAUAACUACUGGAAACGGUAGCUAAUACCGCAUAACGUCGCAAGACCAAAGAGGGGGACCUUCGGGCCUCUUGCCAUCGGAUGUGCCCAGAUGGGAUUAGCUAGUAGGUGGGGUAACGGCUCACCUAGGCGACGAUCCCUAGCUGGUCUGAGAGGAUGACCAGCCACACUGGAACUGAGACACGGUCCAGACUCCUACGGGAGGCAGCAGUGGGGAAUAUUGCACAAUGGGCGCAAGCCUGAUGCAGCCAUGCCGCGUGUAUGAAGAAGGCCUUCGGGUUGUAAAGUACUUUCAGCGAGGAGGAAGGCGUUGUGGUUAAUAACCGCAACGAUUGACGUUACUCGCAGAAGAAGCACCGGCUAACUCCGUGCCAGCAGCCGCCGUAAUAC
rnacentral:rRNA from 1 species